GUGAGGAAUCUUCCACAAUGGGGGCAACCCUGAUGGAGCAACGCCGCGUGCAGGAUGAAGGCCUUCGGGUUGUAAACUGCUUUUAUAAGUGAGGAAUAUGACGGUAACUUAUGAAUAAGGAUCGGCUAACUACGUGCCAGCAGCCGCGGUCAUACGUAGGAUCCGAGCGUUAUCCGGAGUGACUGGGCGUAAAGAGUUGCGUAGGUGGUUUGUUAAGUAGAUAGUGAAAUCUGACGGCUCAACCGUACAGGCUAUUAUCUAAACUGAUAAACUCGAGAGUGGUAGAGGUAACUGGAAUUUCUAGUGUAGGAGUGAAAUCCGUAGAUAUUAGAAGGAACACCAAUGGCGUAGGCAGGUUACUGGACCAUUUCUGACACUAAGGCACGAAAGCGUGGGGAGCGAACCGGAUUAGAAACCCGAGUAGUCC
rnacentral:rRNA from 1 species